AUGUCGUACUUACUCACGGAAAUCGCGCUGGAGAUGCUGGGCUACAAGUUCUACGACACCAAUGGCACAUUCCACCUCACCAACUUUCAAAACAACUCCACGCUCAGCGAAACGCAUCCCGAUGAGCCCUCGCUGCAGGAGUUCAUUGAGUAUACAAAUGAGGAGCCGAAGCAGGAGCCGCAACAGCAGGAACCGCACACGCAGGCUGUGCAGGAGGAGGCGUACCUGGAUGCCCCCACCAUACCCGAAUUCCGCGUUGCACGGCGCACUCCGGCCAAGGCGCUGGCCAAGAUAAUGGACUACGAGAGCGAGAAGAUAGUCAACCAGAUCAACACUCGUCUGGAGCGCUCAGUGACACGUCGGGCGGCGGCUGACAGCCACGAGCAGCUGGCCGAGAUCAUCAACGAGGAGAGGAAGCUAAUUGAGGCGGAUGCCGAGGUUAUUCACGACUUUCGCGAGCUCGUGCAGAGCCGACUGCAGCGAUUGGACAAGCGGCCCUACGAUAAAUACCACUUUCUCUUUCUCUUACUGCGCCAGUGUGUCCACCCUUGCCCAUGUGCUGCCCAGCGAUAGCCCCGUCUAUCGGAUCCACUGUCAUCUCUAGCAGCACAGCACGAGUAAAGGCUCAGGUCAGCCCGCAUCUCGGCUGCCAAUUAAGGAUAUAAAGCCCUCCCCGGACGGUGACGACAACGGCGCUUGCAUAAUGAAAAUCUGGACAUCGGAGCACAUAUUCAACCACCCGUGGGAGACGGUCACGCAGGCGGCGUGGCGCAAGUACCCCAAUCCGAUGACGCCCUCCAUCAUUGGCACGGACGUGGUCGAGCGCCGUGUGGUGGACGGCGUCCUGCA